rnacentral:rRNA from 1 species
UACGGGAGGCAGCAGUGAGGAAUAUUGGACAAUGGAGGGAACUCUGAUCGAGCCAUGCCGCGUGCAGGAAGACGGCCCUAUGGGUUGUAAACUGCUUUUAUACAGGAAGAAACAGUUCUACGUGUAGAACCUUGACGGUACUGUAAGAAUAAGGAUCAGCUAACUCGGUGCCAGCAGCCGCGGUAAUAC